CUUUUCUCAGUAAGGAUAAGACAGCACUAAGACACAACACCUCACCUUCCUAGUCCUACACCUGUGAGCUAAUAAACCCUCUGAGCUGUAAACCCCUUCAUUAGAAGUGUCCAGUGGGAUCAAUGAGAGGAGCUCCUGAGCUAUGAGUCAUCUCGUGUAUCUUUUCAGUCCUGAGAGAGCAAACCAUGCCCUUUGUACAGACAGCAUGUUUGGACUUGGCUUGGGAAGAAUGUGAGUUGCAGUCUCUAGCACACAGUGCAGAUUGCAGGUGAGCAUCUGAGGCAGCAGACGGCUCUGUGAACACAGUCAUUUUGACCAAAACAUGUGUUUGAGCACUUUAAUACAUUGGCGGGAAUGAGAUUAUAAAUAUGAGAGACUGUGGGGUAUGCCCAGCCCCCACCCUGGAGGGAUGUCUGCUGAGAUAAGGAGAGUGCCUAAACCUCCCAGCAGAGCUCCCCUGGAAAGGCAGCCACUCUGCAGUUAUGGCAAGAAGAAGACAAACCCAGAAUCCUCUGGGGGACUCUAUGCAGAUCCUUUGUAACCCAUUGGCCCUUACCCUCUGG